rnacentral:lncRNA from 1 species
GAAAAACUUAAAACAAAUCCUUAUUUCCUGAUGAAUAGCCUUUGGACUAUAAUGUAACUGAAAUAGAAAACUAUCUUUAGAAAGAUUUUUUUUAUCCAAAAGCAUUUUAUUUUAAAAAUCCAAUUUAAAUUUUAAAAAAUCUGAUUUUAAUUUUUUUAAAAAAACUGAUUUAAAUAAAAAAAACUGCUUUUUUUUAUUUUUUAAAAAAAUCAUUGAUUUUUAUCCACCCUGCUGGAAAGGAGAUUCCGAGUAAACAUUAGGAAUAACUUUCUGAUGGCAAGAGUCAUUCAACAGGGGAAUAAGCUCCCUUGGCUGCCCUUCAUUGAAGGUUUUUAAAUGGAUGUUGGGAAUCUGCCAGGGAAUCUUCAGUUGUGAUUCCUGCAUUGCAGAGGUUUGGACUAUAUGGCCUUAGGGGUCCCUUCCAAUCCUUCAGUAACUGCAAUCAUGAUAAUAAUAAUUGCUUUCAACUCCUUGGGCCCAUGGAAACAGCAGAUCCAGGCAGGAUGCCAUAGACUAUGGGGACAAGUUCAAUACUGCCCCAGGCCUGGAGGGGGGAGAGGGCCGUCUCCAUAGGCUGACCUAUCGCCAAAUGACUGAUAUUUGUGGAAUACAUUUAUCUACAUUGUAAUAUUGCAAACAGGUCUGCUUAACAUUUAACUUGGAAGGUACUGGUUCAAUAAAGCCCAAAAGGAAGGUUUGGACAAUUAAUGAUUGGGAGUUGCUGCGCCAUUAAACUUCAGAUAACAGAUUUGGACAACAUCCCGGAUCGGAACGGUGUCGGAGGAAGCUGCGCUGAUAAAAAGACAGUCGGAAAAAUAUAUACUAACAAAGCUGUAUUUGACGGAUGAAAGUACAUGAUGUUUGACACGACUGAGAAUAAAACUCAGGGACGGGAAUUAUAAAACGUCAAAACCGAUGUGUGGAAAAUAUGGAAUGAUGAGGAGAGGCAGGACUGAGAUGUGGAGAUAUGCUUCAGAGAUCCAGACUGUGGGGAGCCCCGAAGAAUUAAUAAUUAUAAUUUGGAUUUUAAUUUGUUUUUUUUUAUUUUAGUUUUUUUUAAUUUUAAUAGGAGUAUUGUGAUUGGAUAUAUUAAUUGGAUGUUUUUUAUUGGAAAAUCAAUAAAAAUGAUUUUAAAAAGACUGCCCCAGGCGAAACCGGCAGUCGAAAAUUCUUCCUGCCACGUAGGGGAGUUUGAGGCACAGGCUUCC